UACAGAGGGUGCGAGCGUUGUCCGGAAUCACUGGGCGUAAAGGGCGCGUAGGUGGCCUGGUAAGUAGGGGGUGAAAUCUCGCGGCUCAACUGCGAGGCUGCCUCCUAAACUGUCAGGCUCGAGCAGAGUAGAGGCAGGUGGAAUUCCCGGUGUAGCGGUGGAAUGCGUAGAGAUCGGGAAGAACAUCGGUGGCGAAGGCGGCCUGCUGGGCUCUUGCUGACACUGAGGCGCGACAGCGUGGGGAGCAAAGCAGG
rnacentral:rRNA from 1 species